rnacentral:lncRNA from 1 species
GGUGAAGUUUAGAUGAUACCUCCCUCCCAGGAAAUAAUGGGAUAGACAAUCUGAUAAUUAGGUAAAAGCACAAACACUCAAAGACAUAUAUUAUGUAUUGUUAAAAAUUCCAUGUGUCCACAUAUGCUGUUAGCUGAAACUACUUGUAUAGAAUAUAACAAUAAAAAAGAAAUGGUAUUAUAAAUAUGGAUACUCUAGUUAUUGGAUUAAUAGCUCCAUUAUUAUAAUAUGGUUGUCCAUGUUUGAGAAAAGUGUUAAAUAAAAUACAAAAAUUAUUCAAAACUUAUUAUAGAGAUAUCGGUUAUCUACUUACUGGUUAAAAACUAAUUCCGAUUUCAAUCCAGCCUGUUAACAUAUAUAUAUACACUAAUAAUUUGCAUUUGCACUAAGGUCAAGAUAUCGGUUCGAAUAUGCACUAUAUAAUAUUUGUAAAAUUUGAUGUUAUUCUCAUGUAUUG